AGGUAACAAGCCACAGGACAAGAGGAAAUAUCCUCAAGUUGCACCAAGGACCGAAUGAUAGUGUAAGAGUCUUGCUUCCACAGAUGUAUAGAGCAGGAGAAAGUUUCCUGUAACUGCAGAACAGUCCUUGUCAAACCAGUGGUGCAGCCAGAAUAUCUUAGUGACUAUGCUGGAAUGACUUGACGUAACUCACUGACAACACUGAGACGCUCUGGGCACAGCAUUCCCUACCCAACCAUCAGCCAAAAGUGCCUUUGGAAACCUACUGACACUGACACCUGUUCUUCUCCACUCAGGAAUCAGGCAUGGCUUGUUCUCUAGAGAAUGGUAAGAGAAUAAAUUUCUUGGAACCUCAGGGAAUUGU